UACGAAGGGGGCUAGCGUUGUUCGGAAUUACUGGGCGUAAAGGGCGCGUAGGCGGUGUGUCAAGUCAGGCGUGAAAGCCCCGGGCUCAACCUGGGAACAGCGCUUGAGACUGGCACGCUCGAGUUCGGGAGAGGAUGGUGGAAUUCCCAGUGUAGAGGUGAAAUUCGUAGAUAUUGGGAAGAACACCGAUGGCGAAGGCAGCCAUCUGGACCGACACUGACACUGAGAGACGAAAGCUAGGGGAGCGAAUGGG
rnacentral:rRNA from 1 species